rnacentral:rRNA from 1 species
AGUGAACGCUGGCGGUAGGCCUAACACAUGCAAGUCGAACGGCAGCACAGUAAGAGCUUGCUCUUACGGGUGGCGAGUGGCGGACGGGUGAGGAAUACAUCGGAAUCUACUUUUUCGUGGGGGAUAACGUAGGGAAACUUACGCUAAUACCGCAUACGACCUACGGGUGAAAGCAGGGGAUCUUCGGACCUUGCGCGAUUGAAUGAGCCAAUGUCGGAUUAGCUAGUUGGCGGGGUAAAGGCCCACCAAGGCGACGAUCCGUAGCUGGCCUGAGAGGAUGAUCAGCCACACUGGAACUGAGACACGGUCCAGACUCCUACGGGAGGCAGCAGUGGGGAAUAUUGGACAAUGGGCGCAAGCCUGAUCCAGCCAUACCGCGUGGGUGAAGAAGGCCUUCGGGUUGUAAAGCCCUUUUGUUGGGAAAGAAAAGCAGCAGGUUAAUACCCCGCUGUUCUGACGGUACCCAAAGAAUAAGCACCGGCUAACUUCGUG